GACGAACGCUGGCGGCGUGCUUAACACAUGCAAGUCGAACGGAAAGGCCCUGCUUGCGGGGUACUCGAGUGGCGAACGGGUGAGUAACACGUGGGUGAUCUGCCCUGCACUUCGAGAUAGGCCUGGGAAACAGGGUCGAGUACCUGCCAGGAGACAUAUUUAAUGUGAUGGUUGGAAAGUUUUUUCGGUGUAGGGUGAGCUCGCGGCCUAGCAGCUUGCUGGUGGGGUAAUGGCUUACCAAGACGGCGUCGGGUAGCCGGCCUGUGAGGGUGGACGGCCACAUUGGGACUGAGAGACGGCCCAGACUCCGACGGGAGGCAGCAGGGGGGAAGAUUGCACAAUGGGCGCAAGCCUGAUGCAGCGAGUCCGCGUGGGGGAUGACGGUGUUAGGGUUGUAAACCCCUUGCGUUAGGGACGAAGCUUUUUGUGACGGUACCUAGACAAGAAGCACCGGCUAACUACGUG
rnacentral:rRNA from 1 species